AAAAUCCCUGUCGGAUCUCGAUCCGCCCCCGCCCAAGACAUACCUACCACCGGUGGCUACAUCCUACAGGUAGUGAGCGACGGAGAUGGCAACAUUCCCCGGUUAACCUGUAGCUUCAAGGCCGCCUCGCGUGUGUGAGAGACGGCGGCAGCCGGAGCGAGGGCAUGUGCGGCGACAGCAGCAACGAUUACCCGCUUCUCUGUAGCUUUGGGGCCGCCUCGCGCGAGUGAGCGAUGGCGAUAACCGGAGCGAGGGAGUGCACGGCGGCAGCGGCGACGAUUCCCCCCAGUUGUCCUGUUUCUUCUGAGGCCUCCUCGCGCUAGCCAGCUGCGGAUUUCGAGCGACGAAAUCGAGCGACAAGACUACAGUAGCUGCUGGGCCCAUGACGGGGAUGAAGCCAGCGACGUCAACAGCAGACUUGGGUACGAUUCCCUUAACAUCGCGGCUUGGGGACGAACUCCGCCGCACCUACAUCAGUCCUCGCCGGCGUCAAGCUGCCACGCAGACGCGGAGUGGAGGACCGCGAACCCAGAUGGCCGCGACGUGGUCCUUCGGCCCUGCCUCACUGGGGCGUGGUCUUUCAGCGUCGAGCAACCUCAGCUGGGAGGCAUUGAGGGGCGCGUGGCUCUGGUGCUGCGCACUGGCGGCGGUAGUCGGCAUCGGCAGUAAGCUCGUGGUUUUCAUCCCCUCCCUGUCUUCCCCUUUGACUCUCUCAUACUCUGAACCGUCCGCCACAUGGAAAGCAACGCACAGGCAGCAGUGCAUCGAGGAAGCAUGAGUUAUAGACGGCCAUUCGAGUUCCUCUACAAGCAGCAGUUGGACGACAGUUAAUUGGUGCUCUCCCCAUCCCCCAUUGUUGCAGUUCUUCCGCAACAGCUAGUUGUCGUUCGUGUGGCAGUUAGUAUUUUGUCAUGGGGCAGUUAGAGAAUAAUAGUUAGCUGUGUUAAAUUAAAGUGUUAACUGAUGUAUUAACCUUGUUAACUGCAGAAUUUGGCCCCUGUUCUCUCUUCAGUCAAAUUUAUUUUAGUGAUUUCUAUUAGCUUGCUGAUUUUCAUCCGUUGGUGCGUUGAAAACAAAAGAAGUUAACUUUUUUUGCUUCUGUAAUAGUUAACUAUGGAAUUUGCAUAAGUUAUUAAAAACAGGAAAAGUUAACACAUCGGUCUGCUGUUGUGUUGUCACCACGGUGUCGGUGCCGCACAAUCUGAUCCUCUUGCUGUUAAAAAUAAAUGUAGCUAACUUCAGUUAAUCUGAUGCUCUUGCAUAAGCGCCGGCAAGGACGUCUCAUCAUCGAUGAUGCUGUCUAUCGCCAGAGUCAACCGGGUUUGUCGAAUGCAGGCUCGUGCAAAAGCUUCUAUCCGCGGGUAGCAACUAGCAAGCAGUUAAUUGGAGUUUAACAAGCAGCAGUUAUCCAACGGUUUCAUUUGGAGCUUAACAGGCAGCAUUCAGCAAGCAGUUUUUUUUUUCCUGAUGCAGUUAUCUACAGAAACAAAAAUGAUGCGGCUCGUUAGUAAAUUUGAUCUAAAUCACUAAAUGAGCUGAAUAGAUUUUGUGCUUCUAUUGCAGAUAACCAGUCCAUCAGGGGCAUUCCACACAACCCAAACUGCUCGCUCUGCUCGACAACGCCGAAAACGGCUGCUCACCUGCUGGCAGCCUACCCCUUCUCGGCAGAGGUUUGGAACUGCAUCAACAACAAGCUGGGACACCCGUUCUCCAUGCUACGGAUGGCGACACUAGCAACCACCAGGGGCCGAUCCCUCAAAGCAUCAUGGACAUGAUAGCUCUAGGCACUGCCGGCUCUGGUGCACAGGAAGACGACCAUUUGCGUUGGUGCAUAGAUGUUGUGGAAGGAACGCAAUGCCCGCAUCUUCAACAACACUCGGUGCACGCCCAAUCAGUCGUAUCAUGGGUGAAGCAAGGUGUUGGUUGGCGGCCGGGAUUCACCAGCUGGACGGGAUAUUCGAGCCACCAUCAUUUCUAUUACAUGUUUGGUCUUGUACUGUAGGACGCUGCCCCAAAUGAAAUUCGGGCAGAUUGUAAUCUCGCUUUAAUUGCCACUUCCCUUACUUUGUACUUUUUUCCCUCUCUGAUCAAUCAAUGAAAUGAGGCCCUAGGGCCAUAUUUUUGUCAAAAAAAUCCUCAUUCA